CAAAAGCUGGAUCGGAUAAAGAGCUAAGAUAAGCUUCCGUCUGUGUCGCCGCUCGGCCCCAUCAUGCCUGGUUAAAGCAGCAGCAGUCAGCAUCCAAUCACGGCGUUGGAACCGCGGAGGGAUUAGGGAUAAAAAGGACUGGAUCAUUGUGGAGCGGAGUGUGGUCGGGUCAAGCUUACGUGGGGGAGGCGUCUUUAGGACCCCCAGUUAUCGGAAGGGGUCGCCACAGCGAGUCAUCCGUCUCCAUGUAACCCUGUCUUCCGCAUCGUCUUCUCUCACACCAACUACCUUCACGUCCUCCUUCACUCCAUCCAGAAAUCUCCUCUUUGGUCCUCUCGUGUCUUUCCUGUCAGGUCCUGGAUUCUACAUCCUUCCACCGAUGUAUUCAGUCUCUCUCCUCUGAAAUGAACUGUUCCUCUGAUGUAUUUAUUUCUGAUUUUAUUCAUCCUUGUCACUCCCAAAGAGAACCUCAACAUCUUCAUCACUGCUACAUCCAGCGGUGCCUCCUGCCUCUUUGUCAUUGCCACUGCCUCUAAACCAAACAGCAUAGAUGGGUUCUUCACAGGCCUGUCCAACAAAUCAAUCCUCCAGCUGCAGCUGAUCCAGAAGCUGCUGCUCCUGUUCUCACUACAAGCAGGAAGAUAGAGACAUAACAGCAGUUUUAAAGUCCCUCCACUGGCUCCCUGUAGCUCAAGAAUAGAUUUUAAAAUACUGUUGUUGGUUUACAAAUCACUGAACGGUUUAGCACCACAAUACA